GAUGAACGCUGGCGGCGUGCCUAAUACAUGCAAGUCGAGCGAACAGACGAGGAGCUUGCUCCUCUGACGUUAGCGGCGGACGGGUGAGUAACACGUGGAUAACCUACCUAUAAGACUGGGAUAACUUCGGGAAACCGGAGCUAAUACCGGAUAAUAUAUUGAACCGCAUGGUUCAAUAGUGAAAGACGGUUUUGCUGUCACUUAUAGAUGGAUCCGCGCCGCAUUAGCUAGUUGGUAAGGUAACGGCUUACCAAGGCAACGAUGCGUAGCCGACCUGAGAGGGUGAUCGGCCACACUGGAACUGAGACACGGUCCAGACUCCUACGGGAGGCAGCAGUAGGGAAUCUUCCGCAAUGGGCGAAAGCCUGACGGAGCAACGCCGCGUGAGUGAUGAAGGUCUUCGGAUCGUAAAACUCUGUUAUUAGGGAAGAACAAAUGUGUAAGUAACUAUGCACGUCUUGACGGUACCUAAUCAGAAAGCCAGGCUAACUACGUG
rnacentral:rRNA from 1 species